rnacentral:rRNA from 1 species
GAGCGGUCACCAAUUUGUAGCAAUACAGAUGAAGUGAUAGCGGCAGACGGGUGAGUAACACGUAGGCAAUCUACCUUUCCGUCCGGGAUAACUAGCCGAAAGGUUAGCUAAUACCUGAUACGACCACUAGGCGGCAUCGCUUGGUGCUCAAAGCAGUAAUGCGCGGAUUGAGGAGCCUGCGGCCCAUUAGCUAGUUGGUGAGGGUAACGGCCCACCAAGGCAACGAUGGGUAGCUGGUCUGAGAGGACGACCAGCCACACUGGGACUGAGACACGGCCCAGACUCCUACGGGAGGCAGCAGUGAGGAAUUUUCCGCAAUGGGCGCAAGCCUGACGGAGCAACGCCGCGUGCAGGAAGACGCUUUUCGGAGUGUAAACUGCUUUUCUGUGGGACGAGCAAGGACGGUACCACAGGAAGAAGCCCCGGCUAACUACGUG